GAUGAACGCUAGCUACAGGCUUAACACAUGCAAGUCGAGGGGCAGCGCAGUGUAGCAAUACAUGGGCGGCGACCGGCGCACGGGUGCGUAACGCGUAUCCAACCUUCCCGUUACUCAGGGAUAGCCUUCCGAAAGGGAGAUUAAUACCUGAUGGUGUUCAAAUUCCGCAUGUUAUUUGAACUAAAGAUUUAUCGGUAACGGAUGGGGAUGCGUGACAUUAGAUAGUAGGCGGGGUAACGGCCCACCUAGUCUACGAUGUCUAGGGGUUCUGAGAGGAAGGUCCCCCANACUGGAACUGAGACACGGUCCAGACUCCUACGGGAGGCAGCAGUGAGGAAUAUUGGUCCAAUGGUCGGAAGACUGAACCAGCCAAGUAGCGUGAAGGAUGAAGGUUCUAUGGAUUGUAAACUUCUUUUAUACGGGAAUAAAACCUCCCACGUGUGGGAGCUUGUAUGUACCGUAUGAAUAAGCAUCGGCUAACUCCGUGCCAGCAGCCGCGGU
rnacentral:rRNA from 1 species